GGGGGAGAAUCCUUGGCUAAUGGUGCACCUCUCCCGCGCAGGAACCAAAAAUAUGGCGCUGCCUCAUUUGACAGGGAAGAUUUAAAUUUCGUCUGCUUAUUUUACUGGCAAUCCAGAAAAUUGAGCUCAGUUUAUCUGUUCUUUUAGUCAUUGAUAUAUAUGUAUAGGGGGAAUGUCUAGGAUUUUUUGGAGAAUUUUGUGGGUUGCUAAAAUGCCUAAUCAAACUCAAGGGAUUUUAUGUGUUUAAUUGUGGGAUAGAUUUUCGGGAAUAUUGUUUGGUUAUCUAUGGUUAUAUGCAUAUUUUUCUGUGAGAUUGUGUUGCUUUGGGGUUAUAUUUGUACAUGAUGGGGUGUAGUUCAAUGAGUUUUGUCAAUUUACUUGAUGUUGAAAUACUUGAAAUACUUGAGUGCCGAAGCUAGUUAUGUUGACCAGUUCUUCAUUUAAUCAAGAGUAUGCUGCC
rnacentral:lncRNA from 1 species